AGCUUUACGUCAAUCACCUAAAGUAAUUCCUGCUCAGUGAACACAAACAGCCGCAGAAUUUUAUACUGUGCUAAGGUAGCAUAAUCACUUGUCUUUUAAUUUAAGAAUAGAAUGAACGGAACCACGAAUUUUAACCUGUUUCACUUUUUUCCAAUAAAACUACUUAAAAGUAAUAACACUUUUUUCCAAAAAAAAGACGAUAAGACCCUAAAGAACUUUACUAAAGUUAAGCUGGGGCGGCCUAAUAAAAAAAUCUUACUUUAACUCUUUCAUCCUAGCUAUAUCAUUAAUGUUACCUUAGGGAUAACAGCAUAAUUUAAUUUUAUAGCUCUUAUUUAAAAUUAAGAUUAUGACCUCGAUGUUGAAUUAAAAAUCUUUUAAACGAAAAAAAUUAACAAGAAAGUCUGUUCGACUUUUAAACAAUUACA
rnacentral:rRNA from 1 species